CGGGGCGUAGCGCAGUCCGGUAGCGCACUUGACUGGGGGUCAAGAGGCCGUCGGUUCAAAUCCGACCGCCCCGA
rnacentral:tRNA from 1 species